rnacentral:rRNA from 1 species
AUGAUGCGGGAUGUGGCUCUAUUUUACUCGGAGUUGGAAGCUUGCGGCUGGCCCAAAAGAUACACUCAUGACCUUGGAGGGGGCACUAUGUAUGAGUAUGACGAUUGGCUCGCGGAGCAAUGUGGGCAAGAGGGCAUAGGCGGGUGGAGGAAAGCGAUGUACAUUGCGGCGAGGAAGAAUGUGGUGAAUCGGCCAGGGAGCUACCGGGACGAAUGGGACGACAGCCACUUGCUGCCACAAGCGCACCAGGAAUUCACCAAGUAUUUCUGA